GUGCUUGCUUCAACAGCAUAAAUACUAAAACUGGAAUGAAACAGAGAAUAUUAACAUGGCCUCUGAGAAAAGUUUACAUGCAAAUUCGUGAAAAUUUAAAAAACUGG